UGCACUUUCUCAUGACAGCCUUUGUGCUGUCAGAAGCUUGUGGUCUGUAAAGAAUAUUAGGACACAGAAGUGGACAAUGGAUGCCUAUAAAGGGAGCUAAGACAACCCAAGAUAACUUGGCUCUGGGCCUCCAACAUGCUAACUCCGCAGUCUACCAGGCCCAGCAGGUAAAGUCUUGAACACAAUCUAGCUUUCAUCUCUUGCGACCUCAGUCUCAUAACCAGCAGAGUUCCCAUUGGUUCCCACUGGUCCCAAUGGUCUUCAGCCUUUGGACAUCGUUUUGUCUUUUAGCUUGGCAGGUCGUGAUGCCAACAGCAUAAGCAUGCAGCAGUGAAUCCUUCAUUUGUCCAGACCCAGUCUCCAGGGCCACAGCUUCCUACACAGACAUCGCCCUGCCCAUCCGAUGGGGUUGUUAGCAUCUUUCUCUCCUCUUGAGGAAACACAACCGCUUGGGACUCAGUUCCUUUUUCAGAUUUAUGUCUUUCAGUCAAAGGCUAGAACGCAUGGUCGCAUGCAGGAGACGGUGCUAGAGAGGCAGCUGUCAGCUUUGGAUCUGGAUUUGCAGAACGCAGUAAGACAACAGCACUGGGACUGGCUUGAGCUUCUGAAAUCUCAAGCCCACCCGCAGUGACACAGUGCCACUCCCUAUGGAUCAACAUGGGCAUUCUCAUCAAACCACCAUGGUUCAGAGGUUCAUCAUCAAGGCAGGAACAUGGCAGCAUCCAGGCAGGCAUGGUACAGGAGGAGCUGAGAGUUCUACAUCAUCAUCUGAAGGCCUCUAGGAGAAGACUGGCUCCCACGAGGUUAGAAGGAGGGUCUCACUGACCACCCCCACAGUCACACACCUACUCCAACAAGGCCACAUCUCCUAAUAGUGCCACUCCCUGGGCAUAUAUAAAUCAUCACAUUCCACUCGUAGAGCCAUCAAGAUGACUAAAGGUGUUUCCUGAUAAGCCUGACAGCCUUGGUUGGAUCUCAGGACUCACAUGGUAGAAGGAGAGAACUGAUCUUUGCAAACUGCCUACUAACCUCCACAUGUGGUGCACACAUGCAUAAAUUCAUAAAUAAAUUAAAUGAAAAACAAAAGUCAACUGAAAAGUAACUCAAGAAUAAACCUGCCAUCUUCUGUCUUUCAACUUGUCACAGUGUUUCCAUUUGCUGUGAAUCUGGCAGCUUGUAUUGUCAAACAGUAGAUGAGGGAAGAAGAGAACUAUAAGAAAAUGAACAACAACAUUAUGGGAAGCUGACAAAUGGCAAAUAAAGUUUUAUUUUUAAACCUCAGAAAUAC
rnacentral:lncRNA from 1 species